rnacentral:lncRNA from 1 species
AUAUUUCUGGAGAUUUUAGAGAGUGCUUAACUGGGCUGACAUUUUUUUUUUCUUGAUCUUAUUGCAAACGCAGUAAAGAACACUGUCUAGGAAGCCUUACCAUAUCCUCCCUUUGUGGGUGUGUUUAAUCUCAUUGUGCAAAUAAAUAUUCUUCGUUUGUUUUCGGUGUAGGUUCUUUUUCUUAGACCUUGGAAACUCUGAAGAACUUUGCAUAUAUAAGUGUUUGGUGUCUUUAUGGGUAUUCUGGAAAAAAAAAGAAGAAGAAAAGAAAGGAAAGACAAAGAGAGAUAGAUGAAGAGAAAAAGGGAGAAAGAGAGUACAACUAAGAAAAAGAGAAAGAUGUCAAAAAUGAAAGGUAAGUAUAUGGAGCAGAAUGUACCUUAAAAAUAAAUGAAAUCAAAGAAACAAAUGCAUGGUUUAGAAUUCAUAACUGUACUCUGAGUUUUAAUUUGUUGAAUAAUCUAGGCUACCAUAUUUAUAAAAUAGGCAUAUUAAUAAUAGCAUCAUCAUGCUGAUUUCAAAAUUAUACUAAUAGUCUUCUACUCAACAUCUUCCUUAAAUUAAAUAUCUAUUACAUAUAUAUGUAUGUGUUUGCUGAAUUCUUUAUAGAUCAUAAAUUAUGGAAUUUUUUGCAACUUGAGUGUGUGUAUAGAACAUUGAAGUUAGUCCACCCUACUUAGAGAUAGACCAGAUUCUAGGAAAGCAUCUCAUCUUCGGUUUGUAAGUAGGUUUAUAUUCCUGUGUUGACACUGGUAAGAAUGGCAGUGUUAGUAUGGAACAUUUUUUUUGAGGAUUCUGGAGGCUGCAUAUAGAUUGGGGGAGAGAGUUUUGUGACUGGUGACUUCUGUCUGCAUGCACCCUGCAUGGAGAAUGGUGACAGGUAUUUGGUAUUUUGAUAUCUCUAAUCUAUUUCAACAUCCUGAGUUUACAGGAAAAAAGCCCAGACAUUUCUAUGACACUUCAGAGAUUGUGCAACUUAUUCACAUACGCUGACAGUUAAUUUUUACAUUCCUGUGAAGUAUGCAGUAUUUUGAACCCCAAGUAUAGAUGAGAAACUGAUGUUUUUCAAGUUCACAAGUCAGUGACAGAGCUAAGACCAGAGGCAAGGCCUUAUGUCUUCUAAUAAAAAAAACCUUUCCACAAUGAAACAAAAGGCUGUUGCUGUACCAGUUAGGAAUGCCUCUGUGGGCACAAGAAAAUCUGAUUAGUGAGUGAUAGGCUAAACAAACAUAGUCAGUCCCACAUGGUGCAUUAGUUUCCAAUUGCUGCCAUAACAAAUCACAAAAAAUUCAAAUAGUACAAGUUUAUUAUCUUAUAGUUCUAGAGGUCAGAAGUCUAAAUUCAGUUUCACUGGCACAAAAAUCAAGGUGUCCAUGGGACUAUGCCCCUUCUGGAACCACCACGAGAGAGUCCCUUUCUUGGCCUCUUACAGCUUCUAGGGACAACUUGCAUUUCUUAGUUUGUAGCCCUUUCCUCCACCUCCAAGGCAGCAGCUCAGCAUCCUCUCUCCUCUCUGACUUCUGCUUCCAUCCCCACUUCUUCUCAUUCUGACUGUGAUCUUCUUGCUGUCCUCUUAAAAUUACCUUGGACCCACCCAGACAACCCACACUGAUCUUUCCAUCGCAGAAUCUUUAACUUAAUCUGCAAAAUCCCUAUACCAUGUAAGGCUACAUAUUCACAGGUUUUGGGAAUUAGGACAUGGACAUUUAGGAGCCCUAAUUUAGUUGACUAUAAUAAGGUCAGCAUAAUAUCCCAGAGAUGGUGCAGUAACUCAUAAGUCUAUCUAUCAUCUUACCACCAAUGUGCUGAAUUUCUUUCUUCUUUUCACUCUGACUUCUUUAAAGUUUUGACCCAUAUCUCAUGAUCACAAGAUGACUGCCAUAGCAGAUG